rnacentral:rRNA from 1 species
UACGGGAGGCAGCAGUGGGGAAUCUUGCGCAAUGGGCGAAAGCCUGACGCAGCAACGCCGCGUGCGGGAAGAAGGCUUUCGGGCUGUAAACCGCUUUCAGUAGGAACGAAACUGACGGUACC